AUGGAAUUUUUGGCAGCUGACUGGUCCUCGCUCCCAGCCGACCUCCUCAACCGCAUCGCCGACCGCUUCCUGGCCACCAGUGACGUCGAUUACUACAUGGAUUUCCGUGCCGUCUGCCGUCGCUGGCGCUCCACCACCCAAGACCCCAAGAAUUCCCCGGACCCUCGCUUCCACCCCCGUCACUGGGUCAACAUCAACGGAGCCUCUUGCCGCUCCAACACGCGCCUCUUGGUGAACACCGCCACUGGCCGAACCCUGCGCCAGGAACUCGGUCUGCUCCGUCACUUUAACAUUAUCAGUACCACCACAGAUGGUCUCCUUGCUUUGAUGGACUGUACACCCCCCCACAAUACAUGCGUCCUCAAUCCUUUCACAGGCUACUUGAUCCGUUUUAUGGCGCAGCGACCCGGCGAGCUCGUGGAAUAUGCUGCCCUCGAGUCCGGUUCUCCACCCACCAUUUUCUUUUUCUGCAAGGACUACAUGGAUGAUAACUGGGUUAUACACGAAUCAUCUCGCAAGGUCUACAUGGCUCAGCCUGACAGUGAGUCUCUCGCCAUCUAUGAGGACAGGUGUGCUUUCCCUUUGAUCAGGCUGGCUGCCAGCGGUAUCUACACUAUUGGUGGUGCUGACCUUGGAUCUUUGACCAGAAGGAUUUUUGAUCUAAUGAGGUUUUACAUGGCCGAUCUUGCUGAGAUAUCUGACAAUGACUAUACCAUUAUGUCGGACGAAAAAUCUUUAUGGAAGCUUUGUGUAGGACGUUGUUUCCUAACGGAAUCAGCUGGAAAAGUGUUGAUCAUCAUGAAGCUAGCACAUGGCGUCGUGGUCUACAGAUUACACACUCACAACUAUAAACUCGAGCAUGUGGAGGACAUUGGCAACUGUGCCAUCUUCUUAGAUCUGUAUUGUUGGUGCUUGUGUGUUAAUGCCGAUAAAUUUCCAUCAGUCCACGCCAACUGCGUCUAUUACCAGAAAAGCCGACUAGCUGUUGCUAAUUAUAUGUGCAUGUAUAAUCUCAAGUCCGAGAGAGAAGAAAGAGUUGAUGAAAAAUUUGAGCAUCUUCUUUUGGACCAAAGGCUGUCUCGGCUUUAA
rnacentral:rRNA from 1 species